CGCUUUUAGUGCUUCAAUUUCGUCAGUUACUCUAUAAAAUAGUUUAAUAUAUAAUAAAAAAAAAUGGAAUAUUCAUUGAAAACACAUUUAUUAUAAGACCUUGCUCAAAAAUUACCUUUCAUCUAUUACGAUUUCGGCGAUUAUAGGAUUCUUGAUAAGCGUCAAUGUGCGUCAAUAUUGAAAGCCUUCUGCUACUAUUACUGCUACCAACUGGAUCGCUUCAGAAUUAUUGGUAACAUAUUACUACUGUCA